UGCUACGAAAUGUAAUUGUACAAUGAAUCCCGAAAAUAUGCCUCCUACUUUAAGUCAUGACUACUGUCAACCUUCUAAGAAAGCUCUAAAGAAAACAACAAAUGUUGGAAGUGCAAACAAUCAAAGAUUUGUAAACCUAACAACAGAUACAAGUUCUAAUGGUUGCGGCGGAAACUGUUGUAAAAAAAUUAAUACUAAGGUAGUGCACAAAGAUACAAUAAAUAAAGCAAAAUCAGUAUGUAACAUACCACGACAAUUCUGUGUGGACCCUUCUAGUACUUCAAAUUUGUAUUACUCUAUGUCGAAAGAAACUUAUGAUUCUAACUAUGUAGGAAAAAUAAAGGGUUCUGAAUCAACCGUAACUACAGAAUUACAAACUCGAUCGGUGCCGCGAUCAUCAGUAUCAAGAGAUAGUGGGAUUUCUAGCCCUCAUUACAACAUUGGUGAUAAUAUGCGCUUUCGCUUGCCGGUGAGUCCAAACAGUAACGGAAAUUCACACAGAUUUAUUGAAAAACCCAUUGAAGGUGGAUUGUGCUGUGUUUGCCCUAAUACUGCAAAUUUUACGUGUAAAGGCUGCCGUUGGUGGCACUACUGCAGUGAGAAAUGUCAGGCAGCGCAUUGGCCGUUCCAUCAGAAAAAUUGUUUUUGGAAAUCUUUGGACACCAAAAAAAUAAAACCGUGAAAGCCAGAAAUUUAUAAUUUGAAGAAAAAUUUACUAGCGUGUUUGUUGCUAUUAAACCUAUAAUAUGGUC